GCAUAGGGCUAGCAGAGCUGUCGUUAAGCUCAUCCUGUCCUUUCCAGGGCAAGCGGAUAGUCAGUGAGAAACGCACUGAGUGCUUCACUGGUCCAGGCAGGGUGCCAGAGCUGAGCGAAGAAGAGACGAAUCACUUGGUGGCUUUCCGCCGGGGGAGACGGAUGCAGAUCGCCAUCACCAUGGAUAACAAGGAAAAAGCGGAGGAGAGGAGAACGGCAGAGAAGAGGAGAUCAGAGAGCGACAGGGGUCCAGAAAGCGAUCACGGCCGGAAGGAGGGUGGGAAGUCAGCCCAGAAAAGCCCUGGAGACCUGAGUUUCCCCAUGACCGGACGGGAGCGCUCAGAGUAUAUACGCUGGAAGAGGGAGCGAGAUCAGAUCGACCUGGAGCGACUGGCACGUCACAAGAACGCGAAGGG
rnacentral:lncRNA from 1 species